AUGGCUCAGAGGGUAAGAGCACUGG
rnacentral:piRNA from 1 species